rnacentral:rRNA from 1 species
CGGCCGCGGUAUUUUGACCGUGCAAAGGUAGCGCAAUCACUUGUCUUUUAAAUAGAGACCUGUAUGAAUGGCUAAACGAGGGCUUAACUGUCUCCCCCUUCAAGUCAGUGAAAUUGAUCUAUCCGUGCAGAAGCGGGUAUAACUAUACAAGACGAGAAGACCCUUUGGAGCUUAAGGUACAAAAUUCAACCACGUCAAGCAACUUAAUAAAAAGCAAGAACCUAGUAGAAAAUGAAACUUUACCUUCGGUUGGGGCGACCACGGAGGAAAAACAAGCCUCCGAGUGGAAUGGGCUAAACCCCUAAAACCAAGAGAGACAUCUCUAAGCCACAGAACAUCUGACCAAAAAUGAUCCGGCUAAUUAAGCCGAUCAACGGACCAAGUUACCCUAGGGAUAACAGCGCAAUCCUCUCCCAGAGUCCAUAUCGACGAGGGGGUUUACGACCUCGAUGUUGGAUCAGGACAUCCUAAUGGUGCAGCCGCUAUUAAGGGUU